CCUACGGGGGGCUGCAGUGGGGAAUUUUCCGCAAUGGGCGAAAGCCUGACGGAGCAAGACCGCGUGGGGGAAGAAGGCUCUUGGGUUGUAAACUCCUUUUCUCUGGGAAGAACAAAAUGACGGUACCAGAGGAAUCAGCAUCGGCUAACUCCGUGCCAGCAGCCGCGGUAAGACGGAGGAUGCAAGCGUUAUCCGGAAUGAUUGGGCGUAAAGCGUCCGCAGGUGGCAGUUCAAGUCUGCUGUCAAAGACCGGGGCUCAACCUCGGAAAGGCAGUGGAAACUGAACAGCUAGAGUAUGGUAGGGGCAAAGGGAAUUCCUGGUGUAGCGGUGAAAUGCGUAGAGAUCAGGAAGAACAUCGGUGGCGAAGGCGCUUUGCUGGACCAUAACUGACACUCAGGGACGAAAGCUAGGGGAGCGAAUGGGAUUAGAUACCCCAGUAGUC
rnacentral:rRNA from 1 species